CAGCCUUCAAAAAUUCGCAGCCUUCUUCAAUUCUUCUGCAACCCCGACCCUUUCCCAAACUCAACCCCGACCUGCAGCCUUCGUUUCAGAAACCCAGCAUCCUAGUAGCUCGAACCCAGCAAUCGAUUCCUAGAGUUUCCCUUAGCCCUCAAGCACAAAGUCCUAGCAUUCGCGAUUUAGAAUACCGAUUUCCCGAUUUCCAGAAACCCAGUAAUCGGUAGCAUCUGCAGCCUUCGAGUUCUUCGAUUCCUGGCCUUCUUCAAUUACUAACUCGAUUCCUUAGCCCUCAAUCGAUUCAUAGCUUUCCCGAUUUCCAGAAACCCAGCAAUCCCUAGCCCUCAAUCCAUUCAUAGCUUACCCGAUUUCGAAUUCGAACAAGUACCUAGCUUUCCCAAUUUCCCGAUUUCCAGAAACCCAGCAAUCCCUAGCCUUCAAUACCUUCUGGCCUUAUUCGAUUACUAACUCAGUCUACAACUUCUCUGGUUGUUGGCAACCUCUGCUAUUAAAGGUUGAUGUUAAAGGUUUAGAUGAGAUUGGGGUGGAGGUCAUAACUCGUUGAGCAAGGAUCGUAUCAUUGCUCGUCUCCAACAACCAUAUUCACUCGAUUGUAUUCCAGUGGAAGCAGAGUAUCAGGAUUCGAUUUUGAUAAUGCCCGAAGCAGCUGCAGUUAUUGGGGACGAGUUGGUUGUAUUUAAAGUUUUAAACGUUGAAAUUUCAUUUGUUUGUAAAAUGAUGAGAAUAAGAAACAACUUUUAGAAGAACUCAUAAAUCCAAGUUCUACAUUACUUUGGGAACUACAAGUGAAAACCAAUAAUCAGAGGCGUCCACGUAAAGAAGAUACUUCGACUCGUCAGUUGCUUUCUGCCUAUGAGUAUAUAUGAAUGCAUCAUUCGGCCAUGAGAGUCAUUCAUUGGCUCCUACACUUGUUUCUGAGCCUCUUAGAAAGAAAUUGAAGAACCUUUCAAAGAAUCAAUAAGAAGCAGAGACCAAAAGGUCACAAGUACGCAUGAAAAGGAAAAGUAAAGAGUUAAAAAUUCAACUGCAUUCUGUAUGUGGUUUAUUGCACGUUGCUUACUAAACUAGUUAUUUUUAUUAUUCAAGUGCCUAAACAACAUUUGCUCGGUGAUAACACAUAGAUUGAGUAUGAAUAUACAACACUGUUUAUUUUUA